UUUGUGACCGACACUAACGGGUAUUUUACAGGACAUACAGGAUUACUCGUUUUUGCGAUCACAAAUC
rnacentral:pre_miRNA from 1 species